ncrna:unclassified sequences RAGATH-18 RNA
CCUUUGGAGAGUUAUAUCAAAGGAAAGUAGCUACGGCAAAAUCGGAUUCUGUGAAGAAGGAA